ACUCUCUUAGUAUAACAUAGUACAGCUGACUUCCAAUCAC
rnacentral:tRNA from 1 species